UGGAUGGUGACUGGAGAGAUAGCUCAGUGGUUAAGAGUGUUUGCUGCUUCAUGGGUGGUGGUGGUGGCACAAGCCUUUAAUCCAAACACUCAGGAGGCAGAGGCAGGUGGAUCUCUGAGUUCAAGGCCAGCCUGGCCUAUAAGGCAAGUUCCAAGAUAGCCAAGGAUACACAGAGAAACCCUGUUUGAAAAAACCCAAGCCUAGACCUAGAGAGUUGGCUCAAUGGUUAAGAGCACUGACUGCUUUUCCAGAGGUCCUGAGUUCAAGGCCCAGCAAAGGCACAUGGUGGCUCACAACCAUCUGUAAUGGGAUCUGAUGCACUUUUCUGGUGUGUCUAAAGCGACAUGGUAACUCGCUGUCUGUAACUAGUAGCAAACAGUUCAUAUCUCACACAGACAUGAAUGCAGAUAGAGCACCAACACAUAUAAAAUUAAAUCUUUAAAAAAUGAAAGGUCUGGGGGCUGGAUGAAUGGUGUUUGUCUUUGCAAAUGUCUGACAGUGGCUGUGACUCACAGCCUCAUAGCAGCUCCUAUUGCCUGGUGUUCACCAUCUGUCUUGGUUAUAAAAAGGUUUCGUAAUGUGAAACCCUUCAAAUGAGCUGGUGCCCUUCUCACCAGUUUGCAUCUUACAGGAUUCCUGAAGGGCUUAUAUUCUGGGCCGUCCCAUUGUGGAGGAUUAGGUUUUACACAACGUAUCCACUCUAGCAUUGCAAUUUCCCUGAGCCUUAAAAUCCCUUCAUCGACGCUGAGCCAAGGGAUAUCUGGCAUCUGCAACUCCUUUUCCGUAGGCCGUCAUUUGAUGAACGCUUCAGCCAACCAUUCAAACAAACUUCUGACACUUUUUUUUAACUGUGUGGCCUUCCAUAUUAAACCUAGAAUCUCCACUCAGAGAGACCAUGUCAAUAAAUUCAGCCUGAUCUAUUUUAAUGUUG
rnacentral:lncRNA from 1 species